AACGAGGCCGACCUGCGGCUGAGUUACCUGCGGAGGGAUCAUUACCGAGUGAGGGCCCUCCGGGUCCAACCUCCCACCCGUGUUUAACGAACCUUGUUGCUUCGGCGGGCCCGCCUCACGGCCGCCGGGGGGCACCCCGCCCCCGGGCCCGCGCCCGCCGAAGACACCCGUGAACGCUGUCUGAAGUUGCAGUCUGAGACACUAGCUCAAUCAGUUAAAACUUUUAACAAUGGAUCUCAG
rnacentral:misc_RNA from 1 species